AGAGUUUGAUCCUGGCUCAGGAUGAACGCUGGCGGCGUGCCUAAUACAUGCAAGUCGAGCGAACGGACGAGAAGCUUGCUUCUCUGAUGUUAGCGGCGGACGGGUGAGUAACACGUGGAUAACCUACCUAUAAGACUGGGAUAACUUCGGGAAACCGGAGCUAAUACCGGAUAAUAUUUUGAACCGCAUGGUUCAAAAGUGAAAGACGGUCUUGCUGUCACUUAUAGAUGGAUCCGCGCUGCAUUAGCUAGUUGGUAAGGUAACGGCUUACCAAGGCAACGAUGCAUAGCCGACCUGAGAGGGUGAUCGGCCACACUGGAACUGAGACACGGUCCAGACUCCUACGGGAGGCAGCAGUAGGGAAUCUUCCGCAAUGGGCGAAAGCCUGACGGAGCAACGCCGCGUGAGUGAUGAAGGUCUUCGGAUCGUAAAACUCUGUUAUUAGGGAAGAACAUAUGUGUAAGUAACUGUGCACAUCUUGACGGUACCUAAUCAGAAAGCCACGGCUAACUACGUGCCAGCAGCCGCGGUAAUACGUAGGUGGCAAGCGUUGUCCGGAUUUAUUGGGCGUAAAGCGAGCGCAGGCGGUUUCUUAAGUCUGAUGUGAAAGCCCCCGGCUCAACCGGGGAGGGUCAUUGGAAACUGGGAGACUUGAGUGCAGAAGAGGAGAGUGGAAUUCCAUGUGUAGCGGUGAAAUGCGUAGAUAUAUGGAGGAACACCAGUGGCGAAGGCGGCUCUCUGGUCUGUAACUGACGCUGAGGCUCGAAAGCGUGGGGAGCAAACAGGAUUAGAUACCCUGGUAGUCCACGCCGUAAACGAUGAGUGCUAAGUGUUGGAGGGUUUCCGCCCUUCAGUGCUGCAGCAAACGCAUUAAGCACUCCGCCUGGGGAGUACGACCGCAAGGUUGAAACUCAAAGGAAUUGACGGGGGCCCGCACAAGCGGUGGAGCAUGUGGUUUAAUUCGAAGCAACGCGAAGAACCUUACCAGGUCUUGACAUCCUUUGACCACUCUAGAGAUAGAGCUUUCCCUUCGGGGACAAAGUGACAGGUGGUGCAUGGUUGUCGUCAGCUCGUGUCGUGAGAUGUUGGGUUAAGUCCCGCAACGAGCGCAACCC
rnacentral:rRNA from 1 species